rnacentral:rRNA from 1 species
CCUACGGGUGGCAGCAGUAGGGAAUCUUGCACAAUGGACGAAAGUCUGAUGGAGCAACGCCGCGUGAGGGAAGAAGGGUUUCGGCUCGUAAAGCUCUGUUGGUAGUGAAGAAAGUUAGAGGUAGUAACUGGCCUUUAUUUGACGGUAAUUACUUAGAAAGUCACGGCUAACUACGUGCCAGCAGCCGCGGUAAUACGUAGGUGGCAAGCGUUGUCCGGAUUUAUUGGGCGUAAAGCGAGUGCAGGCGGUUCAAUAAGUCUGAUGUGAAAGCCUUCGGGUCAACCGGAGAAUUGCAUCAGAAACUGGUGAUCUUGAGUGCAGAAGAGGAAGGUGGAACUCCAUGUGUAGCGGUGAAAUGCGUAGAUAUAUGGCAGAACACCAGUGGCGAAGGCGGCUCUCUGGUCUGCAACUGACGCUGAGGCUCGAAAGCGUGGGUAGCGAACAGGAUUAGAUACCCUGGUAGUC